rfam:Picea glauca, whole genome shotgun sequence.
ACAUUCGAACAACAUAACAUUAAUGCCUCAGAUCCCAUUAGAAUUUCGUACUUAAGCACGCUUGGGAUAGAUUAGCACUAAGAUGAGUGACUUCCCGGGAAGACCUGGUGUUUUACAUGCC